rnacentral:rRNA from 1 species
GACGAACGCUGGCGGCGUGCUUAACACAUGCAAGUCGAACGGAAAGGCCCGGCUUUUGUGGGGUGCUCGAGUGGCGAACGGGUGAGUAACACGUGAGUAACCUGCCCUUGACUUUGGGAUAACUUCAGGAAACUGGGGCUAAUACCGGAUAGGAGCUCCUGCUGCAUGGUGGGGGUUGGAAAGUUCCGGCGGUUGGGGAUGGAUUCGCGGCUUAUCAGCUGGUUGGUGGGGUAGUGGCUUACCAGGGCUUUGACGGGUAGCCGGCCUGAGAGGGUGACCGGCCACAUUGGGACUGAGAUACGGACCAGACUGCUAUGGGAGGCAGCAGUGGGGAAUAUUGCACAAUGGGCGGAAGCCUGAUGCAGCAACGCCGCGUGCGGGAUGACCGCCUUCGGGUUGUAAACCGCUUUCGCCUGUGACGAAGCGUGAGUGACGGUAAUGGGUAAAGAAGCACCGGCUAACUACGUG